UACGAAGGGGGCUAGCGUUGCUCGGAAUCACUGGGCGUAAAGGGUGCGUAGGCGGGUCUUUAAGUCAGGGUGAAAUCCUGGAGCUCAACUCCAGAACUGCCUUUGAUACUGAAGAUCUUGAGUUCGGGAGAGGUGAGUGGAACUGGCGAGUGUAGAGGUGAAAUUCGUAGAUAUUCGCAAGAACACCAGUGGCGAAGGCGGACUCCACC
rnacentral:rRNA from 1 species